CCUACGGGUGGCAGCAGUGAGGAAUAUUGGUCAAUGGCCGGAAGGCUGAACCAGCCAUGCCGCGUGAAGGUCAGUGCCCUAUGGGCGUUAAACUUCUUUUGUGCGGGAGCAAUAAUGGUCACGUGUGGCCAGACGAGAGUACCGUACGAAGAAGCCCCGGCUAACUACGUGCCAGCAGCCGCGGUAAUACGUAGGGGGCAAGCUUUAUCCGGAUUUACUGGGGGUAAAGGGAGCGUAGACGGCUGUGCAAGUCUGAAGUGAAAGCCCGUGGCUCAACCGCGGAACUGCUUUGGAAACUGUAUAGCUUGAGUACUGGAGAGGCAGGCGGAAUUCCUAGUGUAGCGGUGAAAUGCGUAGAUAUUAGGAGGAACACCAGUGGCGAAGGCGGCCUGCUGGACAGAAACUGACGUUGAGGCUCGAAAGCGUGGGGAGCAAACAGGAUUAGAUACCCUUGUAGUC
rnacentral:rRNA from 1 species